rnacentral:rRNA from 1 species
ACUCGCUGUGAAGAUGCAGUGUACCCGCGGCAAGACGGAAAGACCCCGUGAACCUUUACUAUAGCUUGACACUGAACAUUGAGCCUUGAUGUGUAGGAUAGGUGGGAGGCUUUGAAGUGUGGACGCCAGUCUGCAUGGAGCCGACCUUGAAAUACCACCCUUUAAUGUUUGAUGUUCUAACGUGGACCCGUUACCCGGGUUGCGGACAGUGUCUGGUGGGUAGUUUGACUGGGGCGGUCUCCUCCUAAAGAGUAACGGAGGAGCACGAAGGUUGGCUAAUCCUGGUCGGACAUCAGGAGGUUAGUGCAAUGGCAUAAGCCAGCUUGACUGCGAGCGUGACGGCGCGAGCAGGUGCGAAAGCAGGUCAUAGUGAUCCGGUGGUUCUGAAUGGAAGGGCCAUCGCUCAACGGAUAAAAGGUACUCCGGGGAUAACAGGCUGAUACCGCCCAAGAGUUCAUAUCGACGGCGGUGUUUGGCACCUCGAUGUCGGCUCAUCACAUCCUGGGGCUGAAGUAGGUCCCAAGGGUAUGGCUGUUCGCCAUUUAAAGUGGUACGCGAGCUGGGUUUAGAACGUCGUGAGACAGUUCGGUCCCUAUCUGCCGUGGGCGCUGGAGAACUGAGGGGGGCUGCUCCUAGUACGAGAGGACCGGAGUGGACGCAUCACUGGUGUUCGGGUUGUCAUGCCAAUGGCACUGCCCGGUAGCUAAAUGCGGAAGAGAUAAGUGCUGAAAGCAUCUAAGCACGAAACUUGCCCCGAGAUGAGUUCUCCCUGAGACUUAGAGUCUCCUGAAGGAACGUUGAAGACGACGACGUUGAUAGGCCGGGUGUGUAAGCGCAGCGAUGCGUUGAGCUAACCGGUACUAAUGAACCGUGAGGCUUAACCUUACA